rnacentral:lncRNA from 1 species
UCCUAAAAAAUAUUUUCUUUAAAUUCUCUGUAAGAAUACCAAGUAUCUUUAGAAAGAUAAAAAAUCCUACUAGAUCUAUGAGGUGAAGGAGGUACUACAUAAACUGGCUCAUCAUAAAUCGGUUCUACAGGUUCUAUGGCUUGUUGCUCUUCAGAGACUCUCUCUUCGAGCUUAUUCUCUCACUGUUUUUAAGAAAACAGUAUGAUUGCCUACAAUCACAUUGUAAACCAUUGGGAAGAAAAAGUCAUAUCUCAAACUAUUUAGGCUGUCCAUGAAACGAGCUCUUAUAGACCCAUCUUCUAACUUAUUUGUCAUGCCAUAUCUCA